CCUACGGGAGGCAGCAGUGGGGAAUAUUGGGCAAUGGGCGCAAGCCUGACCCAGCAACGCCGCGUGAAGGAAGAAGGCUUUCGGGUUGUAAACUUCUUUUGUCAGGGAAGAGUAGAAGACGGUACCUGACGAAUAAGCCACGGCUAACUACGUUCCAGCAGCCGCGGUAAUACGUAGGUGGCAAGCGUUGUCCGGAUUUACUGGGUGUAAAGGGCGUGUAGCCGGGUUGACAAGUCAGAUGUGAAAUCCUGCGGCUUAACCGCAGAACUGCAGUUGAAACUGUUGAUCUUGAGUACUGGAGAGGCAGACGGAAUUCCUAGUGGAGCGGUGAAAUGCGUAGAUAUUAGGAGGAACACCAGUGGCGAAGGCGGUCUGCUGGACAGCAACUGACGGUGAGGCGCGAAAGCGUGGGGAGCAAACAGGAUUAGAUACCCCAGUAGUC
rnacentral:rRNA from 1 species